rnacentral:misc_RNA from 1 species
CAGAGUCGCAAGACUCCCUAAACCAUUGUGAACCUACCUUCUACCGUUGCUUCGGCGGGCGGGCCCAGCGCCCCCCCGGCCCCCCGCGGGCGCCCGCCGGAGGAUACCCAAACUCUUGACAUUAGUGGCCUCUCUGAGUAUUCUUUACUGAAUAAGUCA